rnacentral:lncRNA from 10 species
AUACUGGUUCGCGCAGGGCUCGGGACGGGGCGCUUGGCUUCUGAGGCACCCGCGCUGGCUCCUCACCCGGUGACCUUCAGGCCUCUGCGCUUGGCCUGACCCUAGAAGGGCCACCGCCCUUCACAGCGGGCGGGCACCGUCCCUCCCACGGCCCCGCCGACUGCUGACGCGGUGGCCCCAAGGGUCCAGGCCCGCACUUGCCCCACUCCCGCGGCGCCGUCCCCCAUAGUCGGUCCCCGAGGGCCGCGCCCAGCUCCUGCUCGGAUUUCAGCCCGCACCGCACCCCAGCCGCCAGGGAACCUUCCAGAACCCUGCCCCUCUGGCUUUCUCCCGAAAGCCCAGGGUCGCCGUCCAGGAAGAAACUUCGAUUCAUUUAUUGAGCGCCGACUGUGUCCAAGGCCGAGGGAGGGGCGGGGUUUCCACGCGGGGAGACCCCCUAGGUUCUCGCCUCGGUAAGCGCCCGCGUUCCAGCACCUCGAGUCGCCCGCGGGCCCCCACCCCUCGGGCCGGGCCCGGUCCUCGAGGAAAACCCACGGCGGGGCAGGAAGGAACGAGGAGAGCCACGCUCCUUGCCCGCCUCGUCCCCUCCACUCCCCUUCACCUCACGGGACCCCAGGGAAGCCGCCGGAGCUAAAAUUAGCAACCCGCGCAGCGCGCGCUCACGUGCGCGCGGCCCGGCGGGGGCGGGGAGCAAGGGGCGCGGUCCGGGUGAGUCACCGGCCCCGCCCCACUCGCCAAGAACGCGCUGACGUCAGCCGCUUCCCCGAAGGGUGACGUAAGCGCGCCACGGGGAGGCCGAGGCAGCUGAUAGAAUGUUCUGAGUUUCGAUGCCUUAAAGGGACCAGGCCUGGGAUCGUGAAACAUCUGGGGAAACGACUCCACUCACUCACCUGCAGACUGAGAGCCCAUCUUGUACCGUGUUAUACUUUAAGAGAGUUGACUGUUGAGAUGAUGAUGAAAACGGAAGAACAACUGAGCCUAGUUGGAGGCUCUUUGAAGUCCCAGAACCUCCUCCUGGAAGCCCUCUUUGGUUAACCAGAUGGACAUCUCAGUUGCCCUCUGAGCCUGAACCAAGUGUCAGGAAGAGUUUUCUAUGGCCCUUGACUCCUUAACUCUUUGCUUAUAGCGUCUCUGCUCUCUGAUGCCUCUGCUGUCAGAGAAAGGCUGUGGUUUAAAUAUUUAUUUAUGAAUCCAUCAGCUUGGGCCAACUAGGUCCAUUUAUCACCGUUUUGACUGUGUCUAAACUGUCAUUAGUGGUGUGACUAGAAACCAGUUAAUUUCGCUGGGUGGUAAAUUCGUGGACUGAUCUCCAAACCCUCCUACUGUGCUAAUGUUGCCAAUGGAAGUUUCCAGAGGCCAGGAUCCCUGGCCAACACGUGAUCGUAAACAACAUCAGGGCCUCACAGGGAACUCACAAUUUACUGAGGUUUGCUCUGUGCCAGGUGUUUUCAUGAUCCUCCAUCCCCUUGUCGUUUAGUCCUCUUCUCUGAGUCCUCCCCAUUUUACUGAUGAGGACGGAAAUCGAGGCACACGAUUAAGCGUUUCCCUGGGUCACACAGCUAAUGAAUGGCGAGCUGGAAGUCAGUCCCAGGUCAUCAGACUCCGAAGUCCAUGGUUUUGGUGAUGAAGGUGGGCUGUGAAAUGUGUGUCUUAUUCUAUGCAUGUGAGUCCGCUGGAACCAACUUUUCCACUUGGAACACAAUCUCAGUGCCUUUCAGCAGGUAACCGGCGCCAGACCAGAUCUCCAGAGAUGGAGGUGGUCGGCCUCAGGGCCCAGCCAUGAGAAGGUGUAUGAGGAGGCAUCGCAUCAGGCGCCCACCCUGUGCUUGCAGGGCCUGACCAUGAGCGCCGCCUUCAGUUUUACACCUUAGGCACCCCACUUGGCUCCCCUUCGUCCCAGCCCUGCCAGACCCACCCUUGACUCUGUGUUUCCUUUCUGGAAACUCGAGAGGCCAUUUCUACUUAAAGAGUCCUCACCUGGCCUACCAGCGACCAGAUCUGCCCAAGUGCAGAAGAAACACUUGGUUAUCUCCUCUUUCAUCGUCCCCGCUCGAGCAUAAAACAACAGAAAGUUUCCUAUCGGAACAGCAUGCUUGUGCCAAAAACAAAUUAGAAACAACAACAACUUCUCAAAAUUUUGAGCAAAAUGAUGGUGACCGUGUUCUGGAAAUGGAGCAAAGUGAGUGAGCCACUGUCACUGUUACAUCUGACAAUCACUACUGGUACUUGGCUAAAUAUUGCAGCCACCUCUUCAGGCUACACAUGUCAGGUGUACCAGAAGCACCUUCCGCCUCCAGCUCACUUCUGGGAGAUAUUUAGAGCUGACUCCUCUCCCCUCCCCAGUCUCCAGCCACCAGCAAGCUCUCUCCUUGGUGUCCCCAGCUCCUGCCCCUCAUGCUGAUAGAAGCAUUGCCCGCUGUUCUUCCUGUUCUUACAGGUUUCCUAGUGCCUGUGACCAAACACCUUGUGUGUGCUCCCCAGGAGAGAAAACCGCUAGCAGCCUCAGGUAUUGUUGGGGGUGGGGAGGAUGGGGGUUCUGUGGGGACAGGAACUUCUUCCUCUGUAUUGGGGGUGGACACACACACGGAAACUUAGAGCGGUGUACUACCUCCAGGCCAACCAGGCAAGUCCCUGUUUUAUAACUAAGGUCUAGGUGAGGUGGCCUGCCCGGGGUCCCAUGGCCUGUUAGGGGUAGAGAUUUCUAGUCACUUGACUUCCAGCCUGCUUCUUUUCCAUGGAUCACACACACACUACUGUUACAAGACACAGGUAGGACAAAGGGCAUGAACAUGCAUGGCAAAAUGAACAUGCACGGCAAAUGGGAACAUGUCAUAUAUACAAUGGAAGGGAAGACAAAUGACAUGAAGUAAAUAUAGACAUGAAAUCAUAGGGAAGAAUUGGAGAUCACGAUUUCUGAUGACCACCAGCUAUUCCCACUUCCUCUUUGCUUCUCCCUCCCACCUUGUUUGAAGACAGGUGAGGAGUUGUUCCUCCUCAGACCCAGGAAUCAUUUCCCAGUGGAAUGACACGGUGAAGUGGAUCGCCAUUUUUAAACCUUCAAUAAUAAAGAUCUUGUGUGUCAUUUCAGUUUUAAUUUUUUAUCGUCCAGUCUUUACUCUCCAUCAUUUCUUUAUCCCAGAAGCCCCAUUAAAUGUCAUUAAGAGCCAUAAAUGUAACUGGCCACUAAUGUGGAAGGAUUGUGAUCUCCGGCAAACAGCCCCGGCAAGCAAAAGAACAGGAAUCCUGGGUCAGUUUCCAACUGUGCCUGUGACUCACUGUGUGACACAAAGCAAAGCUCCACUUUUGCGGAGGGAGAGCUGUGGGGCAGCGAGACACACAUAGCCUGGGCCCUGACAGAGGUGGAGGGGUUUCCCUGCAUGCAGGAAGCUCAGGGGUCCCUGUUGGAAUCCAGUUCCAUAGUAACUCCUUAGUAAUGGCCAUGAGCUGUGCCUCCAAUGGAGACACUACCAUGGCUUGGACUGGAUUGUGGCACUUGCCCUUCGUGACAUCAUUCUCAUAGGUUAGGAAUGCACCCUGAUUAUUUCUAACUCCACUUUAAUAACUUGUUCUGGAUCUGCCCUCCAGGAAUUUAUUUGAAACUUUCUUUAUUCUAUUUAUAUUUCAGCCUGUACAGCCUUUUCAGGCAACAAGUAGAUUUACCAUUUAUGUAAAAACACUUAAUUCUAAAACACAGGAAGUGCUGCAUAAUGGUUUGUUAUAAUAAUCACAAUAAUUUGAUAUCUAUAUUGUUAUACAUAACAAAUAUUAUAUUAUAGUUUGAUGAUAAUUAUUCAUGCAGAUGGCCUCACAGGCUUCAUAUUUUCAGUCACUCACUAUCUUUGUGUUUAUCCCCUCACCCACCUCUCCCCAACCCCAAUCAAAAAGUAUCUCUUGGCUGGGUACAGUGGCUCAUGCCUUUAAUCUCAGCACUUUGGGAGGCUGAGGCAGGAGGAUUGCUUGAGCUCAGGAGUUUGAGACCAGCCUGGGCAACAUAGUGAGACCUCAUCUCAAUUUUUAAAGAAUUUUUUUUUUUGAGAUGGAGUUUUGCUCUUAUUGCCCAGGCUGGAGUGCAGUGGCAUGAUCUCAGCUCACCGCAACCUCUGCCACCCGAGUUCAAGCUAUUCUUAUGCCUCAGCCUCCCGAGUAACUAGGAUUACAGGCGUGUGCCACCACGCCUGGCUAAUGUUGUAUUUUUAGUGGAGACGAGAUUUCUCCAUGUUGUUUAGGCUGGUCUCGAACUCCAGACCUCAGGUGAUCUGCCCACCUUGGCCUCCCAAAGUGCUGGGAUUACAGGUGUGAGCCACCACGCCUGGCCAGAAAUUGUUUUUAAGUGUCAUAGUGAAGAUGAGGGGCGGGGGAAGCAUUUAUUAAUGGAAUUAGGUGCUGUAAUGGGUGCAACUCUGUGCAGAAACUUACCUAAACAGAUUCAAUGUCCUCUAAGGACUUGUUAUCUAAGAUCAACAUAUGGUAGGUGCUUGUCUUAGUCAAUUUGGGCUGCUAUAACAAAAUACCGAAGACUGGGUGUUGUAAACAACAGAUAUUUAUUUCUUACAGUUGUGGAGCCUGGGGAAUUCAAGAUCAAGGUGCUAGCAGAUUAGUGUCUGGUGAGGACCGGCUCCCUGGGUUGCACACCUGCCUUCUUGCUGUGUCCUCACGUGGCCUUUCCUUGGUGGUGUGCCUGUGAAGAGAGAGAGAGCUCUCCUGUCUUUUCCUCUUCUUCUAAGGGCACUAAUUCCAUCAUGAGGGCACCAUCCUCAUGACCUAAUCCAAACCUAAUGAUCUCUCAAAGGCUGCACCUCCAAAUACCAUUAUACUUCGGGUUAGGGCUUCAACAUACAAUUUUGGAGGAGACACAAACAUUCAUCCCAUUUAUUUGGUGCUCAAUAAAUAUUGGAUGUAUGAAUGGAUGGAAUAAAAAAAGAUAAACCUGUGUGGUAAUUGGAUAGAAAACACAUGGACAUACAGUCAUAUGCCACAUGACGUUUCAGUCAAUAAUGAACCGCGGAUAUGAGAGGAGUCCCAAAAGAUAUAAUGGGCCAGGAGCUGUGGCUCACACCUGUAAUCCCAGCACUUUGGGAGGCCAAGGCAGGCAGAUUAGUUGUGGUCAGGAGUUCAAGACCAGCCUGGCCAACAUGGUGAAACCUUGUCUCUACUAAAAAUACAAAAAUUAGCUGGUCACAGUGGCACAUGCCUGUAAUCUCUGCUACUUGGGAGGCUGAGGCAGGAGAAUAGCUUGAACCCAGGAGGCGGAGGUUGCGGUGAGCUGAGAUCGCACCAUUGCACUCCAGCCUCGGCGACAAGAGUGAGACUCUGUAUCCAAACAACAACAAAAAUCAAAAAAACAAACAAAAAGAUAUAAUGGAGCUCAAAUAAUCCUGUCAUCUAGUGAUAUAGUUGUCAUAACAUAGUAGUAAAACAUAUUAACUUUUUUUUUUUUUUUGAGACAGGGUCUCACUCUGUCACCCAGGCUGGAGUGCAAUGGCACAAUCUCAGCUCACUGCAACCUCCACCUCCUGGGUUCAAACGAUUCUCCUGCCUCAGCCUCCUGAGUAGCUGGGAUUACAGACACCUGCCAACACGCCAAGCUAUUUUUUGUAUUUUUAGGAGAGAUGGGGUUUCACCAUGUUGGCCAGGCCAGUCUCGAACUCCUGACCUCAUGAUCCGCCUGCCUCAGCCUCCCAAAGUGCUGGGAUUACAGGCGUGAACCACCGCACCCAGCCAACCUAUUAACUUUUUUAUGUUUAGAUACGUUUAGAUACAUAAAUACUUACCAUUGUGUUACAGUCGCCUACAGUAUUGAAUACAGUAACAUGCUAUACAGGUUUGUAGCCUAGGAGCAAUAGGCUAUACCAUACAGCCUAGGUGUGUAGUGGGCUAUACUACCUAGGUUUGUGUAAGUACACUCUAUGAUGUUGGCACAACAAUGAAAUCACCUAACGAUACAUUUCUGAGAACAUAUUCUUGCUGUUAAGUGACGAAUGACUGUAUAUGACAUUCUGGCAAAGGCAAAACUAUGGAGACUAAAAAGAUCAGUGGUUACCAGGGGUUGAGGAGUGGGGGUGAUGAACAGGUGGAGCACAGAGGGUUUUUGGGCCAGUGAAACUAUUCUGUAUGAUACGAUAAUGGUAGAUACUUGUAUUUAAAAAUCUGCCCGAACCCAUAGAAUGUACAACACCAAGAGUGAACCCCAGUGUAAACUAUGGAUUUCAGGUAUUAAUAAUUUGUUAAUUAGGUUAAUUGAUUGUAACAAACGUGCCAGUCUGGUGGGGGCUAUUGAUAAAGGAGGUGGCUAUACAAGUGUGGGAAGAGGAAGUAUAUGGGAAAUUGAGUACUUUCCACUCAAUUUUGCUGUCAAUCUAAAACUGUUCUACACAAUAAAGUUGAUGUUUAAAAAAGCCAAGUGAUGUGGUAACACCUUUCUGUAGAGUUCAUUCCGCUGUAGCGUCACAUAGAUUUGGGCUGGAAUCU